CACAGUUUUUAAAGUAUCUAGUGUAUAUAAGGACAAGCCAUUCUCAGUCAAGCAUGAAACUGAAUCUGAGAGCAGGAAAAGAAGAAAGCUGAAAACACACUGAGGAUUAUGGGAGAGGGGCAAGUGCAUGAAGCUUCUCAAUGACAUACAGACACUCUAAAAGCUCAAGAGAUCAAUUAUUCAACUUCAAGAACUGAAAUUUGAACACAGAUUUUGAGCUUCCAAAUCAGGAGAAAAAGAAGUGUUCUAUAAGAAGUUUGGACAAGACUCUGCAAGAAGUUAAGAGGUCCUUAAAGGCAACUGUGAAUUAACGGAGACUAGUUUUGAGAAAAUCAGUCCUGAUUUGUUUCUCCUGGAGUUUUCUUCUUUAUGUGAUCCUUCAUAAAAGCUGCUAAUAUGGGAAAGAUUGAAAUCAGCAAGUUUCUGGCUGUAAGCUAAAAGAGGCUCUUGAAUCAUAUUUCCGCCUGCUUAGCAAAUUUCUCUUGCGACAAUUGGAUGUUAUUUGGGGUUCCAUACUAGCAGGAAGAAGUACAAGCAAAGCUAAGUCAUUUUGAGAAUAAAUAUUAUCUCUCUAUAUAUUUGUAAAUGUUAUUUUCUUUUUUUUUGAGGUUUAUGAUUGAUCCUUGGCAUGUGUCCCCUUGUGUAUUGCUCUACUAAAAAUAGCCUAAAAAAGAAUUUUCCCCUCGAUGUGGAGCUUCUCUUUAGUUACAAUUCUACUUUCUCCUUCACUUGAGUAUCAGUCUUCAGAGAACUACCAUAACAAAGGAGUGGAUACAGAUAUACGCAAAAAAGUCUAUGAGAAAAUUAGUACAUUAAAUUUGUGAAAGCUCAUUUAAAGUAAUUUUCUACUAACAAUUUUAAUCAAAUGUAUUAAUCAUAUUUCUAUGCUUAGUGAUGUUAAAUAAAAAUUUAAAAGGUGGCAAUCAAUAAACAGAGAUAAAAGCUUCUCAAGAAUAAAUGAAAGGAAGUAAUAAAAAGACUCACUAAGCUGAAUUGCCUCCUAUCAACAGCAGCUGAUAAAAUAUUAAAAGAUUUGCCUUGUGUAAUGUCUCUGGAGAGCUGUCUUACUGAUGUACGAGGCCAUGAUUGACAACUUUGAGACUUUGCUGGAAGCGACAAAAGUAUAUCUAUAAUAUUAUGCUGAAUUGCAUAGGUCUUUCUUCUUAAAUGAGGCUAGAAAUAACAUACCACCAAGUGUUUGGCUUUUAGGAAAUUGAGCAUUUUCUUUAGUUCUAGCUGCAGUUUAAUUUCCUCAGAAUUAGACAUUAUGCGGUAUCUGGAACGUUAAAAAAAAAAAAAAGCAAAAACAGAGUAUUGUACCUAAUGAUAUGUCAAAUAAUUUUGGAGGAAUUAAGAAAUCACUGGAAGAAAUUACAUGGGUGGGUAAUGGUUUUUAUGUCACAAUAAAUAAUUAGUAAUAUUUACUGACACAUUUCAUGUGCCUGGUACUGAGCUAAAUGAUUUAUGUGCAUUGUUUGUAUUAAGCCCCCAAAAUUCUGUGGUAUAUGUAAUGAUAUUUCCAUUUUUCUUGAGAUAAGGAACUGAAACUCAGAAAAGUUAAGGAACUUGUCCAAGAUUAUAGUAAGUGGCUUAGUUCAAUUUUGAAUCUAGAUCAAUCUGACUCCAACCAGCAUGAUGAACUGAAACUGACUAUGAGGCUGGUGACACUCUAGGCAUUUAUUCACAAGAGGUAUUGUGAUGACAUGUGAGAGAAUGUUGGAUGAAGGAAGCACAUACUAGAAAGAUAGGAAAGACCAGAAAACACAGGGAAGUGCUAUUUAUUUGCUUUCCUAGUUCCAGUAACUUGGUCUAAUGGGGAGGAUGAAAGUAGACAGAUACCUGAAAACACUUUGAGAUUUAUGUAUAAGCAGCAUGACUUCAGUGACCAAGCCACACAGAAUCUGGGAGUGGAACAUUUUCUUUGGUCAUUAUGCCACUGCGGCAUGGUUUGUUAGUGCAGUGAGAACUAAAGUAUAGUGUGGUAACCUGAAACUGUUAUGGUUAUGGGUACACCUGGGUGGGUAGCUGUUCACCCCUUCACAGAGGGUAGGAGUGGUGAUAGCAAAGUAGCUCUUCGCAGUAACUUUCAGAACAUAGACAUUAUGUAAGAUCUGAAGUUUGAAAACCUGAAACAAAAGCAGAGCAUUAUAUCCAAGCACAUUGGAGACAACUGUGGAGGAAUCAAGGAACAUCUAGCAGAGAUUUAAUGUUUUAGGGACUGUUUUUUAUUUCAGAAGGUAAUAAGUGUAAAACAGUCAAACUCUAGGCAUAGGGAUGAACAUUAUUUUGUGUCAUAAAUUUGUCUAAUAUAGUUGCUGCUUCAGCAUCCAGUUUUGGCUUGUCAUGGUCAAGGUGACCAGUCAUGCCCUGUCACCUUUGGUUUUAUUAAAAUUUUCCCUCCUUUAGUGGUUAUUUGUGAUAUAGCCCUGUUGUUCCCCAUCUCACUGACCCCAAAUUCAACACAUGCCACAGCUGCUGGCCACAGUGAAAACUAAUGAUCAACACCAGUCAUGUGAAUAAGACGUCCCUUCAUGUGUUUUCUUUAAGCUAGCCUAUCCACAGCCCCAUGGGAAAGCCUAAAGAAUAGUACCUGUGGAUUAUAAUAAAGACGUCUUACUGGUUCUUGCUCUCUAUCCCUCUCUCUACACACUGGUCAAGUACACUCUUGUCUCCAGACUUCCCAUUGGCCUCCUGUCAACACCUGUACCCACUCUGGACCUGGGAAUAAUAAACUUCUUUUUUUUUUUAAUGUAUUUUGGUUUCACUUCCUCAUUGUAUCUCACCUGACACACACAUACUAUAGUGUUCUCAAUAUUAUUUAAUGUGUUUAACAAAUCAUAACAGAUAAUAUAUGAUUGACACUGUGCCUCCUGAUUUGAUGCAAUAUGGACUAUUCCACAUCACUGAUGAAGUAGUCAUACAAAAAAUAUUUAUCUUGAAUCAAAGCAAGAUUUUAUACCAAAAUUCUAGUUCAAGUUACCUGAUAGAGGAACAUAUUAAACAAUACUAUGUGUAAACAAUACUAUGUGUAAACAAUCAGAAAAAUAAUAGAUUGUAGCCUUCAAAAAACGAUGGCCUUACAAAACAAAUAAACAAAAAGUUUGUGUGGGUGUGUACAUGCAAGGGCUAAUCUCAAAUGCAGAAAGACCAGAAUACAAUAACAAAUAUAAUUCUUGAAAGUGGAUUUCAUCUUGGUUUACCAAAAAUAGCUAUGAGGGAAAUUUGGGUAAGAAUUAGAGAAUUCUGAAUAUAGAAUGAAUUAAAACAUAUUAUGAAUUAAGUUAAUAUUUUUGAUGUUUUCUUUUGAUAUGUUCUUUUAGAAUAUGUAAUAUCCCUAUUUAUUGGAGAUGUGUGCUAAAUUAUUUACAAAUAUUUGGGUAUCUGAAAUUUACUUUCAAAUGCACCAAAAAUAAUAGCUAUACAAAAAGAAAUACAUUAAAUUUACUCUAUAGUAGUAGUUAUUCUUUCUGAGAGGUUUACACAGUAUUUUCCUGUUCUUUUGUAUGUAUGUAUUUUUAAAAGAACGUAGGCCUGGCGCAGUGGCUCACGCCUAUAAUCCCAGCACUUUGGGAGGCCGAGGUGGGCGGAUCACGUGGUCAGGAGAUCGAGACCAUCCUGGCUAACACGGUAAAACCCCGUCUCUACUAAAAACACAAAAACAAAAUUAGCCAGGCGUGGUGGCGGGCGCCUGUAGUCCCAGCUAAUCAGGAGGCUGAGGCAGGAGAAUGGCGUGAACCCGGGAGGCGAAGCUUGCAGUGAGCCGAGAUCAUGCCACUGCACUCCAGCCUGGGCGACAGAGCGAGACUCCGUCUCAAAAAAAACAAAAACGAAAACAAAAACAACAUAAAUAAAUUGAUAAUAUAUCUAUUUUGAUACAGUCAUGGUUAACAUAAAUAAUCCUGGUUAUAUCCAUAUAAAACCAUGAAUAUACAGUAAUAAAUAUUAUAAUUACAAGUAAAUCACCAUAAAUAAAUUCUGUUUUCAAUGUUUCUACU
rnacentral:lncRNA from 10 species